GCUGGGCAUGGUGACGCAUGCCUGUGAUCCCAGUGAUUUGGAAGGCUGAGGCAGGAGGAUCAACAGGUCAAGAUCCUGUCUCUG
rnacentral:sRNA from 1 species